CCCCCACAUAUAUAUUGUUCCUAGAGUCGCCACGAUGUCUGCAUGUGUGUCAAUGUGUAUCUGUGUGUGACUGUGUUUGUGUGUGUAUGUCCGUGUAUGUGUAUACAGGGAGUGCAGAAUUAUUAGGCAAGUUGUAUUUUUGAGGAUUAAUUUUAUUAUUGAACAACAACCAUGUUCUCAAUGUACCCAAAAAACUCAUUAAUAUCAAAGCUGAAUAUUUUUGGAAGUAGUUUUUAGUUUGUUUUUAGUUUUAGCUAUGUUAGGGGGAUAUCUGUGUGUGCAGGUGACUAUUACUGUGCAUAAUUAUUAGGCAACUUAACAAAAAACAAAUAUAUACCCAUUUCAAUUAUUUAUUAUUACCAGUGAAACCAAUAUAACAUCUCAACAUUCACAAAUAUACAUUUCUGACAUUCAAAAACAAAACAAAAGCAAAUCAGUGACCAAUAUAGCCACCUUUCUUUGCAAGGACACUCAAAAGCCUGCCAUCCAUGGAUUCUGUCAGUGUUUUGAUCUGUUCACCAUCAACAUUGCGUGCAGCAGCAACCACAGCCUCCCAGACACUGUUCAGAGAGGUGUACUGUUUUCCCUCCUUGUAAAUCUCACAUUUGAUGAUGGACCACAGGUUCUCAAUGGGGUUCAGAUCAGGUGAACAAGGAGGCCAUGUCAUUAGAUUUUCUUCUUUUAUACCCUUUCUUGCCAGCCACGCUGUGGAGUACUUGGACGCGUGUGAUGGAGCAUUGUCCUGCAUGAAAAUCAUGUUUUUCUUGAAGGAUGCAGACUUCUUCCUGUACCACUGCUUGAAGAAGGUGUCUUCCAGGAACUGGCAGUAGGACUGGGAGUUGAGCUUGACUCCAUCCUCAACCCGAAAAGGCCCCACAAGCUCAUCUUUGAUGAUACCAGCCCAAACCAGUACUCCACCUCCACCUUGCUGGCGUCUGAGUCGGACUGGAGCUCUCUGCCCUUUACCAAUCCAGCCACGGGCCCAUCCAUCUGGCCCAUCAAGACUCACUCUCAUUUCAUCAGUCCAUAAAACCUUAGAAAAAUCAGUCUUGAGAUAUUUCUUGGCCCAGUCUUGACGUUUCAGCUUGUGUGUCUUGUUCAGUGGUGGUUGUCUUUCAGCCUUUCUUACCUUGGCCAUGUCUCUGAGUAUUGCACACCUUGUGCUUUUGGGCACUUCCAGUGAUGUUGCAGCUCUGAAAUAUGGCCAAACUGGUGGCAAGUGGCAUCGUGGCAGCUGCACGCUUGACUUUUCUCAGUUCAUGGGCAGUUAUUUUGCGCCUUGGUUUUUCCACACGCUUCUUGCGACCCUGUUGACUAUUUUGAAUGAAACGCUUGAUUGUUCGAUGAUCACGCUUCAGAAGCUUUGCAAUUUUAAGAGUGCUGCAUCCCUCUGCAAGAUAUCUCACUAUUUUUGACUUUUCUGAGCCUGUCAAGUCCUUCUUUUGACCCAUUUUGCCAAAGGAAAGGAAGUUGCCUAAUAAUUAUGCACACCUGAUAUAGGGUGUUGAUGUCAUUAGACCACACCCCUUCUCAUUACAGAGAUGCACAUCACCUAAUAUGCUUAAUUGGUAGUAGGCUUUCGAGCCUAUACAGCUUGGAGUAAGACAACAUGCAUAAAGAGGAUGAUGUGGUCAAAAUACUAAUUUGCCUAAUAAUUCUGCACUCCCUGUAUGUGCAGACAUCUAAAAAUCUCGCCAACACUACACACAAAUACACUCUUGCAUUUCAACGUCAACACUACAUACAAACCCCACCAUUAUAUAUAACCAUACCACUGCAUUCAAAUACCACACAACACACAAAUGCAUGCUUGCAUUCAAACGCCAACACUACAAACACACCGCUACAUUCACUCACAUAUACUCCAUACAAAAACAUGCAUACAUUCAAAAACACAAACACUGCUUAGUGCUAAAUACAUUAAAACAUUUUUUAGUUGUUUUUAUAUUUAAA